GACGAACGCUGGCGGCAUGCCUAACACAUGCAAGUCGAACGAGACCUUCGGGUCUAGUGGCGCACGGGUGCGUAACGCGUGGGAAUCUGCCCUUGGGUUCGGGAUAACAGUUGGAAACGACUGCUAAUACCGAAUGAUGUCUUCGGACCAAAGAUUUAUCGCCCAGGGAUGAGCCCGCGUCGGAUUAGCUAGUUGGUGAGGUAAAGGCUCACCAAGGCGACGAUCCGUAGCUGGUCUGAGAGGAUGAUCAGCCACACUGGGACUGAGACACGGCCCAGACUCCUACGGGAGGCAGCAGUGGGGAAUAUUGGACAAUGGGCGAAAGCCUGAUCCAGCAAUGCCGCGUGAGUGAUGAAGGCCUUAGGGUUGUAAAGCUCUUUUACCCGGGAUGAUAAUGACAGUACCGGGAGAAUAAGCCCCGGCUAACUCCGUGCCAGCAGCCGCAGUAAAAC
rnacentral:rRNA from 1 species